UGGCGCGCGUGCUUGCACAUGCAGUCGAAGAGAGGACUGAUAGGAAGCUUGCGAAUCCUAGUCCUUAGGGCGGACGGGUGAGUAACACGUGGAUCCCUGCCUGUGAGACCGGGACAACACCUGGAAACGGGUGCUAAUACCGGUUAAUCUCUUUUUGCCGCAUGGUGAAAAAAGGAAAGGGGAAACCCGCUUACAGAUGGAUCCGCGGCCCAUUACCUAGUUGGCGGUGUAACGGACCACCAGGGCGACAAUGGGUAGCCGGCCUGAAAGGGUGAUCGGCCACACUGGAACUGAGACACGGUCCAGACUCCUACGGGAGGCAGCAAUGGGGAAUCUUCCGCAAUGGGCGAAAGCCUGACGGAGCAACGCCGCGUGAAUGAUGAAGGCCUUCGGGUUGUAAAAUUCUGUCUUCAGGGAAGAAAAAAAUGACGGUACCUGAGGAGGAACCCCCGGCUAACUACGUGCCAGCAGCCGCGGUAAUACGUACGGGGCGAGCGUUGU
rnacentral:rRNA from 1 species